rnacentral:rRNA from 1 species
UACAGAGGGGUGCGAGCGUUUAAUCGGAAUUACUGGGGCGUAAAGCGUGCGUAGACGGUUUUAUUUUAAGUCGGGGUGUGAAAGCCCCCGGGGCUCAACCUGGGGAAUUUGCAUUUUCGAGACUGAAUAGCUAGGGGUGCGGUAGAGGGGAAGUGGAAUUUUCCGGUGUAGCGGUGAAAUGCGUAGAUAUCGGAAGGAACAUCAGUGGCGAAAGCGGACUUCCUGGACCAGCUACCGACGUUUUCAGGCACGAAAGCGUGGGGGAGCAAACAGGG